GCGGACUGGGUGCAGCUGGUCACCUGGAACGACCACAGCGAAGGCACAUCGUUCGCGCCAUCGAUGUACCACGGCGGCGCGCUGCUCGGGCUGUCGUCGUACUUCCUGCGCUGGUUCAAGUCCGGCCGUCCGCC
rnacentral:tRNA from 1 species